GGGGGUGUGCCCGAGUGGUUAAAGGGGACGGGCUGUAAACCCGUUAGCUAUGCUUACUAAGGUUCGAAUCCUUACGCCCCCACCA
rnacentral:tRNA from 1 species